UCUUUAGUCCUGUGGCUAAACCAUAAAAGCUCAUUUACCAAAAAGAGGAUGAUGAGGAAUAUUCUGACAACAUCUGAAGAAUGUGCCUGCAGUGGGUUGAGUUUCCUGAAGGGCUUUCUUCUGCACAGCUGGAAGCACUGGAGGGAGCUCUUCAUGGCAAGGUCACUCAGAGGAUGCUCUGGCUCUUUGGAACAUGUUCUGGAUGCCUUCCUGUGCUUGUGUUCUGGACUGAGCCGGGCAGAGAGCACCCUGGUUAAAAAGGGAUCAGUUUCCCUUCUCACUCCAGAUUGAGCACAGGAUCUCCUUCCUGUGCAGGAUUAAAGAUUAAGGAGUCAUGAGGCAGAAAUGCUGAGCAGCAGACAUUUGGUGCUAGUGACUUCAUAUGCUCACUGGUGAAGUGAUGGAGCUCCAGCAGCUGGAUCUGCAGAGACAAGUCUCUUGCUGUCCUUCUUUCUGGUCAGGCCCAGGAGAGAGGAGGCAGCCUGAGCUGGCCUGUCUGCUCCUGAGGUGCAGGCAGAGCUGCUGUCACUGAUUGUGAGGUAUGAGGUCACCUGGACUGAGUCAGCACAGCCACACUUGGGGUUUUGUGCUUGGGGCACUCCUGAGGGUUUACACAUUGUCCAAACCUGGUUCCAUCCAUCUAACCCCAGUAGUAAGGAUCUGGCCUUAUAUGCUGAGUGACCCCUUUGCCACUCUGUAGUCCCAGGGAAAGCUUUCCUGUGGCACCUUUCCACUGAGCAAUGACCUUGUGGCGACACUGCAGGGAAGGCAGGGGAAGGUGGGCACUGAGUUGUGCUCUGAGCUGAGUGAAUUUCUCACACUGGUGUGAGAAGCCUUGGUGCACAUUAAGUGCUCCUCAGCUCACCUGCCCUGUCCUUCCCUGCUGUCGGUCUCAUGUCUCUUGUGUUCUUUCCCAUUUCACAGGAUCCAAGGACUCC